rnacentral:lncRNA from 1 species
AGGGGGGAAGAUGAGGAAAGGAGAAUGGGGAGAGAGGAAAGGAGAGAAGGGAGGGAGGGAGGGAAAAAAAUGAGAGGGGAAAGAGAAGGAAAGAAGUGCAGAAAAAGAAGGAAAAAAGGAGAAGGAAAAGGAGAGUAAAAAAGAUGGGGAAGAGCAGAAAGGGAAGGGGGAAAGAGAUAGAAGGGGAAAGAGGUGAGGAAAGAAGGGGGAAAGAGAAAAAAAUAGGGGAAAGAGAGAAAAAACCGAGGUGCGUGUAGCUGUGCAGUGGCAGCCUCGGGAGGGGGAAGAAGAGAGGGUGCUGGAGUGAUGCUGAGCAAUGCCAGCUGUGCCCAGCCCGGAGCAGCCAGUGAGCCCCUCUGCCUGUCCCCGGGCUGUGUCACACGGCGGGCAGCACUCAAAGCACGAUUCAUUUCAUUUCCCAUCCGUGAGGCACAACAAAUAACUCUAAGCCAAAGGAAUUUUGCCCCAGAGAAGGCAGCUGGAUGCAGUCCCACAUUUCCAGUCUCUUGAAGAUGCCAGAAGGGAUGCUUGAAGGUCCUGUGCUGGCUGGGAGAACUGCCUGGAGAAACAGCUGCUCUUGUCCUCUGCACCCUUGGGUGAUGCCACCACCCUUUAGCCCGAGCUCCUGAGGAAGGCAAGCUGAUAAGGUGGGAUAAUUUGGGGGGUUCUGGCCUCAUCUGGGCAGCUCUCAGGCCCAGCACUCACUCCUGGCUGAAUUUGGCAGAGAGAGAUACUGUGUUCAUCAGAUAAACAAGUCAAUUAGGCAGAGGCUUCUUCUUCCAUUCCCCACUCCCACCUCAUUGCCAUCCCUUUAGGGCAAAGGGAUCCAGGUGCACAUGGGCCUCAGGAGGAGACAGACACUGAGAUCUGGGAGCUGGGACCACAUUCAGAACUUGGCACUUGAGCCCAGUGAGUGAAUUUGGAAAUCACAGCCUCUGUGAUUUUUUCUAAGUGUUCCAGCUUUUCUUGUCCAUAACCCUGAAUUAUCUGACAGGACACAAAAGCAAAACCUGCUGUGCUUCCCCUGCUGUUUCAUGUCCUCUUGCACAGCUAGAAAAAAAAAAAAAAGAAUUUAUUUUCCUGCCUGGCUGCAUUUUGUUACAAAUUAAAGAAAGAAUAAAUGCAAAAUGUGAGAGGAAUAGAACA